CUCCGACCGACGCUCCAACCCCCACAUUUUCCCCUUCCCUCCGCUUCGAUCUGCCCACCGCCUCCUCCCCGGUCAAGAUCUCCCCUCUUGCGGCCGGCCGAGCACCGCUCCUCCUCGCCGGCGGCCACCCAGGCGGCGCUCCUCCCUACCCGCCGCGGUGAAGGAGGCACUCCCGGCUGUCCCUCCCCACCCGCGGCGAAGGAGGCGCGGGCGGUCACUCCUUCCCGCCGCUGGCGAACGGCCAGGCAGGCACUCACAGCCAUCCCCUCGAGCGACCACAAGAGGGUCUGUCCCCGCCCAAGCGCCGCUCUCUACGCCCGUCCUUGCCGAGGCGCCCAUCCCUGCCCAUCCACGGCCAGAGCUUUGACAAGAGCAGGAAGGGGAUGGUUCAUUUAUUUUGACAAGAGCUUUGACAUGACCCUGCAUCAUCACGGCGGCCCUCCCCAAGCAGAAGCUCCUUCUAUUCGAUCUCCUCUAAGCAGUGAUGGGUGAAAAGGCGGUGUGGGAUAAUGCCACUUUGAAGCAUUUCAUUGACAUUUGCAAGGAGGAGCUUAGUCUUGGGAAUAGACCAAAUGACUGUUUUACUAGAACUGAUUGGAAGAACCUUGAGGAUAAGCUUUUUGCAAGAACCGGGUUGAAACAGUCACAAUUGAAGAAUAAAUUAGACAACCUAAAAAAAGAUUACACCGUGUUCAUGGAACUGAAAAUGCUGCCACUGGGCUUGGAUGGGAUGAUGCGAAUCAAACUGUUGAUUAUUCUAACACGUGGUGGAAUGAACAUCUUGCGUGAUGCAACAACCCAGAGAGAGGUAUCAAGUGCAUCCAUGUCAAGUUUCGAAAGCGGGGGCCGAAGUACCUUGAUGAUUUACAUCUGUUGUUUGAAAAGGUGCAUGUCACCGGUGCUUCCGCAUCAUGUCCGGGAGAUAUUUCCUCAAGUGACUCGAGUGACGAGGACACAAUGGAGAUUACUCGCAAUGAGAAACCAAAACCAGCAGGAAAGAAGCGCAAACAAUUGUCUAGUCCGACUCAAGAGAAGGAGGAGAAGACUCCAUUUUUUUGGAUGUACAAGAACACAUGCACGAGGAUUGAAAGUGCAGCUAAUAAAAUUGGGUCGAGUCUUGAAGCAUCAUCAGCUCCUCCACAAUCCAAUCCUGUUCCAACUAUUGCACAAGCCAUGAGAAUGGUGAAGGAUUGUGGGAUUCAAGAAAAAACUGCUUUGAUGCACAUAGCUACCUUAUUAAUCAUGAAGCCUGAGUUUAGAGAGAUACUUAGUGCGCUUGAAACAAAUGAAGGAAAGUUUGAUUUGAUUGAGAGGGAGCACAAGAUGAAGAAGGCCACAUAGAUCAAAUUCUCUUGUGUUUCAACCAUUUAUUUGCUUACGUUCUUGUAUGUUGGAAUAAUUAUCGUGUAUGUUGGAACCAGUUUUGUUUUGUACGUUGGAACCAGUUUUAUCUUGUAUGGUGGAACUAUUUUUCCCGUGUAUGUUUGAAUAAUUUUUCCUUAUAUGUUGGAACCAAUUAGCUUGUAUGUUCAAAGCGUUAUUUCUGCA